GAUGAACGCUAGCUACAGGCUUAACACAUGCAAGUCGAGGGGAAACGACAUCGAAAGCUUGCUUUUGAUGGGCGUCGACCGGCGCACGGGUGAGUAACGCGUAUCCAACCUGCCCACCACUUGGGGAUAACCUUGCGAAAGUAAGACUAAUACCCAAUGAUAUCUCUAGAAGACAUCUGAAAGAGAUUAAAGGCUUAUCGGUGAUGGAUGGGGAUGCGUCUGAUUAGCUUGUUGGCGGGGUAACGGCCCACCAAGGCUACGAUCAGUAGGGGUGCUGAGAGGAAGGUCCCCCACAUUGGAACUGAGACACGGUCCAAACUCCUACGGGAGGCAGCAGUGAGGAAUAUUGGUCAAUGGACGAGAGUCUGAACCAGCCAAGUAGCGUGCAGGAUGACGGCCCUAUGGGUUGUAAACUGCUUUUAUAAGGGAAUAAAGUGAGUCUCGUGAGACUUUUUGCAUGUACCUUAUGAAUAAGGACCGGCUAAUUCCGUGCCAGCCGCCGCAGUAA
rnacentral:rRNA from 1 species